rnacentral:rRNA from 1 species
GAUGAACGCUGGCGGCGUGCCUAAUACAUGCAAGUCGAGCGAACGGACGAGAAGCUUGCUUCUCUGAUGUUAGCGGCGGACGGGUGAGUAACACGUGGAUAACCUACCUAUAAGACUGGGAUAACUUCGGGAAACCGGAGCUAAUACCGGAUAAUAUUUUGAACCGCAUGGUUCAAAAGUGAAAGACGGUCUUGCUGUCACUUAUAGAUGGAUCCGCGCUGCAUUAGCUAGUUGGUAAGGUAACGGCUUACCAAGGCAACGAUGCAUAGCCGACCUGAGAGGGUGAUCGGCCACACUGGAACUGAGACACGGUCCAGACUGCUACGGGAGGCAGCAGUAGGGAAUCUUCCGCAAUGGGCGAAAGCCUGACGGAGCAACGCCGCGUGAGUGAUGAAGGUCUUCGGAUCGUAAAACUCUGUUAUUAGGGAAGAACAUAUGUGUAAGUAACUGUGCACAUCUUGACGGUACCUAAUCAGAAAGCCACGGCUAACUACGUG